AACCUUGUAUUCAGCACAACAAUUUAUAAAUUAUCCUUUACCUAAAAUGCACUCAAUGCAUAAGCCUAGUCCACCAUGGACUAUAAAAGAUAAAAAUUGGAAUCCACAUGUAGGCCUUAGAAGUGAAGUGUUAUGUCUAUACUCCAUGGUGAACUAAGUUCAUACAAAAGAUUCUCUUAAUUACAGUGACAAAUAGAACAUGACAAUAUAUACUGAACAUAACCUUAGUUUGAAAAUGCUGAUUAUGAGGACCGUCCGCUUGCCAGAAUCAAGCAAUUCUCUUACUACAACUGGGAAGAGUGAGCAUUCAGAUCUGAAUUCUUAAGGCAUUUCCAGAUUGACCAGUUGUUUAAAAUGUCAACAUCUCAGCCUCAAAGAAAGUACAACCUUGUAGCAAAAGUCCAAAAUAAUGAUCAAACUAUAACUCAUAAUCAAAAUGUAUCCAUGAAGCCUUCGUGCACCAGCAACUUAUCUUC
rnacentral:misc_RNA from 1 species